UGUAACAUGAAGAAGUUCCAGUGUGGAGAGAAAAGAAUCCUUAACCUUUGGUUUACCUUUCUAGGUCUUUCGAUCUCCCUUUAAUCCACUCGAUGGCUAGCUUUUCAAGAUAAAUGGAAACUUUAUUCAGUUUGUUUUUGCUUUUAAGUCCUUGGCCACUGGGAGAGUCCUUGAAGGGGAGAUAUCUUGUGAAAGAGGGAGGGAGCACUGAAAAUGCAUCCGCAUAACAGAUUCGUGGCUGUGCAGAUCCUGAAUGGAGUAGGGUGGGUGGGGUAAGCGGAGGGAGAGAACCCAGUGUUUUUCUAGGCAGUUAUUCAACCAAACCAGCUGAUUGGUCCGUUUUACAGAGAGCUGAUUGGUCCGUUUUGA
rnacentral:lncRNA from 1 species